GGUGACUUUCCCAGCCAUGCCUGCAAUGGAAAAUUCCAUCCCCUGACUCAUGCACAGUAAGGGGAACAAAGCAAUAUGGAAUAGCUCAAGGGACCAAGAGGAGGCCCAGGAAAAGGAGAGGAAACACAAGAAAAAGGCAGAGAGAGGGAUACCUUGAAAUGGAAUGCAGGCCUGGGACUCCAUAAGCCUGCUGUUCCAGCCAGCCUGGACACAAUUGCAGAAACUAGUUGUUUUACUAAGGCUUUGACUGGAAGGAUAUGCUUCCCUUUGAGGAAUCAAGCUUGGCGUACAGAGCCAAUAAAAGCCCCUUGGGGAAACUGGCUUCAUACCUUGUCUAUACAGUCCCUGUACAGGGUUCCUAACCUGUGGCUAUCAAGCUCCAAAUGGUAAUGCAAAUGAAAUCACACAUGGACACGCCUUUCUUCCAAGGACUCUCAGACCAGCCCUAGGAGGAAUCGUAGCUGCUGUUCCCCACACAAAGCUACUCUGUAGCAGCAAGUAGCCGCAAGGCUCAUCGCCCCAUCUCCCUAACAGCACUUAGGGUCUCCACUCCUGAGGCGGGGGGGGGGGAAAUGAAAGAGUAGAAAGGAAGAAACUGAUUAGGCAGGCAGUUAGCUGGGUCCUCAGUUGAAUUAUUUCAAACAGAAGAACAACCUGCAAGCACAGAUAAGGGAACCUGCAUAGGAGGGCUUGCCUAAGAUAUGCCCACAGCCACACAGAUAAGAAAGCCUACACAGGUGACUUGCCUGGACACGCCUGCAAUGGAAAAUUCUGUCCCCUGACACAUGCACGGUAAGGGGAACAAAGCAAUAUGGAGUGACUCAAGCUAAGGACCUACAUGCGCACUAGGAGGAUAGGGUGGAGCUAGCAGAAGUUUGUGCCUUAUGCAAAUGAGAUGCCAAGGCCUCAUCAGUUUCUUAUAAAAGCCUUUACAUUCAACUGUUAAAAUGGCUAUCCUCUUCUGGACCCCCCUCCAUGGCAGAGAGCUUUCUUUUUUUGCUUAUUAAACGUUCACUCCAACCUCAUCCUUUGUGACCACGCUUCUUAAAUUUCUUGGUCAUG
rnacentral:lncRNA from 1 species